rnacentral:rRNA from 1 species
GGGAAUCUACCGAGCCCUGCGGAAUAGCUCCGGGAAACUGGAAUUAAUACCGCAUACGCCCUACGGGGGAAAGAUUUAUCGGGGUUUGAUGAGCCCGCGUUGGAUUAGCUAGUUGGUGGGGUAAAGGCCUACCAAGGCGACGAUCCAUAGCUGGUCUGAGAGGAUGAUCAGCCACAUUGGGACUGAGACACGGCCCAAACUCCUACGGGAGGCAGCAGUGGGGAAUAUUGGACAAUGGGCGCAAGCCUGAUCCAGCCAUGCCGCGUGAGUGAUGAAGGCCCUAGGGUUGUAAAGCUCUUUCAACGGUGAAGAUAAUGACGGUAACCGUAGAAGAAGCUCCGGCUAACUUCGUGCCAGCAGCCGCGGUAAUACGAAGGGGGCUAGCGUUGUUCGGAAUUACUGGGCGUAAAGCGCACGUAGGCGGAUAUUUAAGUCAGGGGUGAAAUCCCGGGGCUCAACCUCGGAACUGCCUUUGAUACUGGGUAUCUUGAGUAUGGAAGAGGUAAGUGGAAUUGCGAGU